rnacentral:misc_RNA from 1 species
AAAAAAAUGACAAAACCGUACCCUAGAGCAGUUCCGCCCGGCGCUUUUUCACUCAAUUUAUUUACAAACAAACGAACGAUAAACGAUAGAUUGAACCGAAGAGGCGUCCCCCUUCAAUUUAUGGAGUUUGUGAGAAAUAAUUUGGUUGAUCCCAUGGGCCAAGGUGUAUCAGCAAAAAUACUUCAGCGUUUACGUGUCAAUUGGGUAAUACAAUUGCUAGGGAAAUCAGGCUUUGGCGUUGGCAGGUAGUAGUAGUCAUGACUAGGCGUAGAACCG